GACGAACGCUGGCGGCGUGCUUAACACAUGCAAAGUCGAGCGGUAAGGCCCUUUCGGGGGUACACGAGGCGGCGAACGGGUGAGUAACACGUGGGUGACCUGCCCUUAGCUCUGGGAUAAGCCUGGGAAACUGGGUCUAAUACUGGAUAUGACUCCACGGCGCAUGUUGUGGGGUGGAAAGCCUUGUGCGGCUGGGGAUGGGCCCGCGGCCUAUCAGCUUGUUGGUGGGGUGAUGGCCUACCAAGGCGA
rnacentral:rRNA from 1 species